ACCCUGAUCAGCCAUGCCGCGUGUGUGAAGAAGGCCCUCGGGUUGUAAAGCACUUUCAGCGAGGAAGAACGCCUAGCGGUUAAUACCCGCUAGGAAAGACAUCACUCGCAGAAGAAGCACCGGCUAACUCCGUGCCAGCAGCCGCGGUAAUACGGAGGGUGCAAGCGUUAAUCGGAAUUACUGGGCGUAAAGCGCGCGUAGGUGGCUUGAUAAGCCGGUUGUGAAAGCCCCGGGCUCAACCUGGGAACGGCAUCCGGAACUGUCAAGCUAGAGUGCAGGAGAGGAAGGUAGAAUUCCCGGUGUAGCGGUGAAAUGCGUAGAGAUCGGGAGGAAUACCAGUGGCGAAGGCGGCCUUCUGGACUGACACUGACACUGAGGUGCGAAAGCGUGGGUAGCAAACAGGAUUAGAUACCCUGGUAGUCCACGCCGUAAACGAUGUCGACCAGCCGUUGGGUGCCUAGCGCACUUUGUGGCGAAGUUAACGCGAUAAGUCGACCGCCUGGGGAGUACGGCCGCAAGGUUAAAACUCAA
rnacentral:rRNA from 1 species